rnacentral:rRNA from 1 species
UGGGGAAUAUUGGACAAUGGGCGCAAGCCUGAUCCAGCAAUGCCGCGUGUGUGAAGAAGGCCUUCGGGUUGUAAAGCACUUUUAUCAGGAGCGAAACGCUGUCGGCUAAUACCCGGCGGAACUGACGGUACCUGAGGAAUAAGCACCGGCUAACUUCGUGCCAGCAGCCGCGGUAAUACGAAGGGUGCAAGCGUUAAUCGGAAUUACUGGGCGUAAAGCGUGCGUAGGCGGUUUCUUAAGUCUGCUGUGAAAUCCCCGGGCUCAACCUGGGAAUGGCAGUGGAUACUGGGAGGCUAGAGUGUGUCAGAGGGUGGUGGAAUUCCCGGUGUAGUGGUGAAAUGCGUAGAGAUCGGGAGGAACAUCAGUGGCGAAGGCGGCCACCUGGGACAACACUGACGCUGAGGCACGAAAGCGUGGGGAGCAAGCAGGAUUAGGAUACCCUGGUAGUCCACGCCCUAAACGAUGCGAACUGGAUGUUGGUCUCAACUCGGAGAUCAGUGUCGAGGCUAACGCGUUAAGUUCGCCGCCUGGGGAGUACGGUCGCAAGACUGAAACUUAAAUGAAUUGACGGGGUCAUAGCUGUUUCCUG